GCGCGAGGCGGCCGAGGGGCGGCGGCGGCAGCUCGCCCAGGAGGCCGCGUCGCUGCGGAGGCGCCUGGAGGCGGCAGAGGCUGAGCUGAGCCGGGAGCGGGCGGCCCGGGAGCAGGAGCGGGUGACGCUGCGGCAGGAGCUGGAGCAGCGGAGCCGGGAGCUGCGCGAGGCCCAGAGCCAGCACCAGGUGGCAGCGGAGCAGCUCCAGGCCGAGGUGACGUCGCUGCGGCAGGAGCGGGACCGGCUGCAGCAGGCGCUGCGCGAGGCUGGCGCAGCCCCACGCGGAGCCGCAGGCGGGCGCCCGCCCCCCCGAGGCCCCACGAACUCGUCUCGCCGCCCGGCGGGGCCCAGGCGUCCGGGCGGCCCCUCGCCCCGGGGGGCCCAGGCGUCCGGGCGCCCCCUCUGCAAGGGACCCAGGCGUCCGGGAGCCCCCUGCCCCCCCCAGCACCCUAACACCCCCCGGUGACAACCUCAACGGGGGGCUCCCCGGACACCUGGGCCCCCUUGGAGGCCCCCCCCUCGGACGCCUGGGCCCCCCCGGACACCUGGGCCCCCUCGGAUGCCUGGGCCCCUUCAGAUGCUCCCCCCCCCCGGGACGCCUGGGCCCCCCUGGAUGCCUGGACCCCCUUGGAUGCCCCCCCGGAUGCCUGGGCCCCUCCCGGACGCCUGGGCCCCCCCCCCCCCCGGACACCCCUCCGGAUUCCUGGCCCUGACUCCGUCCUGGGGUGAUGGUGACGAACGUGUGUGUGUGCGUGGGGGGGGUCAC